GAUACAUUCUACACUACAGGGACUGAUACAUUCUACACUACAGGGACUGAUACAUUCUACACUACAGGGACUGAUACAGUCUACACUACAGGGACUGAUACAUUCUACAUUACUGGGACAGAUACAUUCUAGAGUUCAAGGACGGAUACAGUGUCUGUUUAGCAUUUGGUCAAUUCACACACCCACAGGGAUGUUGUUGAGGCUGUGUGUGGGUGUGCACGUGUGUGACUGAUUGAUUUUUACACAGGGGCUUGUUGACCAGACAGCCUGGACAUUACAGGAAUUAAAUCACAUAAUUUGUGUCACAUCUGGAAAGCUCCACUCGCAGUAUUCCAUCCGCUCACACGCUUCUAUCCUCCUCUUCAAACCACCUCUUCUAUUCUCUUCUCCUUUCCUCCACUUCUAUCCUCCUCUUCCAUCCUCCACUUCUAUCCUCCUCUUCUAUCCUCUUCUUCAAACCACCUCUUCUAUUCUCUUCUCCUUUCCUCCUCUUCUAUCCGCCUCUUCUAUCCUCCUCUUCAAACCACCUCUUCUAUUCUCUUCUCCUUUCCUCCUCUUCUAUCCGCCUCUUCUAUCCUCCUCUUCAAACCACCUCUUCUAUUCUCUUCUCCUUUCCACCUCUUCUAUCCGCCUCUUCUAUCCUCCUCUUCAAACCACCUCUUCUAUUCUCUUCUCCUUUCCUCCAUUUCUAUCCUUCAUUUCUAUCCUUCACUUCUAUCCUCCUCUUCCAUACUCCUCUUCCAUCCUCCUCUUCCAUCCUCCACUUCUAUCCUCCUAUCCUGUCCUCCUCUUCUGUCCUCCUCUUCUGUCCUCCUCUUCUGUCCUCCUCUUCUGUCCUCCUCUUCUAUCCUCUCGGUCUUGUUAUUGCUCUACUCAGGUUGUAACAGGAGCUGUAAAGCAGACUUGGGUUCAAAUAGUAUUUUAAAUCUUUCAAUUGGCUAUGAGCAUUUGUUGAGCCUGCUUGGAGUGCCAGGUGGGCAGUGUUUACACUUGUGCGACAAUCCCAUUGGUGCAAUUGUGUCAGGCAAGCUCAAC
rnacentral:lncRNA from 8 species